rnacentral:lncRNA from 10 species
CUUGCACACUUGAAUUUAUGAACUGAGAGUUGUGCUGCUUACACAUUCAUGCAAAGGAGUUCGCACAGUGCUGGGCACCACCAGGUUCUGGCUGCUGUGUCCCAUGUGGUUGGGAUGCCGUGGUGGGCCCAGAGCCGGAUGGGAUGCUGAGCUGGGACUCUCUAUCAGGUCCCGGUCACCUUCCCUGCUGAGGGCAUCAGACCCUGAGACCUGGAGCUUUCAGCCUGACGUCUGGCACAGCCUCAGACGCAGUGAUCAUGGAGCAUUCUCUGGGAAGAUGGGCCUCAAUUUUGUCCUGCCCUAGCCUGGAAAACACAGAGAACUCUGAAGAUAGCCUAGCCUGAGUUCACCAGAGCCAUGGGGAGGAGCCAGCCCAGGUGAGUGCCAUUUCUGCUUCUGGAAGGGGCCUCAGCUCACCCUGCUCUCACUCUGGAGUCCUGGGAGGCCACGGCCACAGCCAGCAGGCAUCCAUCUUAUCUGGGAAGGGGUAGCUCAAUGGGGUCAACAGAUAAUCUCUCAGAACAGGACUCUGCCAAAGCCUCUAAAAAAAGCUGCUGGGGGGUUGAAUAUGGAGUUUUCUGUACCCACCUGGACCCCACCUGAGCGUCCUCACCUGAGAAUCCAGGCUUCAUUCUCAUUCAUGGGGCUGAUCUGCCUGAAAUGUCGUCAUAUUAGUCAGGGCUUUCCGGAGACACAGAGC